rnacentral:rRNA from 14 species
AACUAAGGCCAGACGGCCCUGAAUGUGCCUGAUCUCGGAAGCUAAGCAGGGUCAGGGUUGGUUAGGACUUGGAUGGGAGGCAGGUACACUCUUAACUGUCAGACACCCCCCUCUCCAGUCC